rnacentral:rRNA from 1 species
UUCAUUUGAGCAAUGGGGGGACGCAGGAGGAUAGGGUAAGCGCGGUAUUGGAUAUCCGCGUCCAAGCAGUUAGGCUGGGAAAUAGGCAAAUCCGUUUCCCAUAAGGCUGAGCUGUGAUGGCGAGCGAAAUAUAGUAGCGAAGUUCCUGAUUCCACACUGCCAAGAAAAGCCUCUAGCGAGGUGAGAGGUGCCCGUACCGCAAACCGACACAGGUAGGCGAGGAGAGAAUCCUAAGGUGAUCGAGAGAACUCUCGUUAAGGAACUCGGCAAAAUGACCCCGUAACUUCGGGAGAAGGGGUGCUCUGUUAGGGUGCAAGCCCGAGAGAGCCGCAGUGAAUAGGCCCAGGCGACUGUUUAGCAAAAACACAGGUCUCUGCGAAGCCGUAAGGCGAAGUAUAGGGGCUGACGCCUGCCCGGUGCUGGAAGGUUAAGAGGAGCGCUUAGCGUAAGCGAAGGUGCGAAUUGAAGCCCCAGUAAACGGCGGCCGUAACGAUAACGGUCCUAAGGUAGCGGAAUUCCUUGUCGGGUAAGUUCCGACCCGCACGAAAGGCGCAACGAUCUGGGCACUGUCUCAACGAGAGACUCGGUGAAAUUAUAGUACCUGUGAAGAUGCAGGUUACCCGCGACAGGACGGAAAGACCCCGUGGAGCUUUACUGCAGCCUGAUAUUGAAUGUUGGUACAGCUUGUACAGGAUAGGUAGGAGCCUUGGAAACCGGAGCGCCAGCUUUGGUGGAGGCAUCGGUGGGAUACUACCCUGGCUGUAUUGACCUUCUAACCCGCCGCCCUUAUCGGGCGGGGAGACAGUGUCAGGUGGGCAGUUUGACUGGGGCGGUCGCCUCCUAAAAGGUAACGGAGGCGCCCAAAGGUUCCCUCAGAAUGGUUGGAAAUCAUUCGCAGAGUGUAAAGGCACAAGGGAGCUUGACUGCGAGACCUACAAGUCGAGCAGGGACGAAAGUCGGGCUUAGUGAUCCGGUGGUUCCGCAUGGAAGGGCCAUCGCUCAACGGAUAAAAGCUACCCCGGGGAUAACAGGCUUAUCUCCCCCAAGAGUCCACAUCGACGGGGAGGUUUGGCACCUCGAUGUCGGCUCAUCGCAUCCUGGGGCUGUAGUCGGUCCCAAGGGUUGGGCUGUUCGCCCAUUAAAGCGGUACGCGAGCUGGGUUCAGAACGUCGUGAGACAGUUCGGUCCCUAUCCGUCGCGGGCGCAGGAAAUUUGAGAGGAGCUGUCCUUAGUACGAGAGGACCGGGAUGGACGCACCGCUGGUGUACCAGUUGUUCUGCCAAGGGCAUCGCUGGGUAGCUAUGUGCGGACGGGAUAAGUGCUGAAAGCAUCUAAGCAUGAAGCCCCCCUCAAGAUGAGAUUUCCCAUUCCGCAAGGAAGUAAGAUCCCUGAAAGAUGAUCAGGUUGAUAGGUCUGAGGUGGAAGUGUGGCGACACAUGGAGCUGACAGAUACUAAUCGAUCGAGGACUUAACC